GAUGAACGCUGGCGGCGUGCCUAAUACAUGCAAGUCGAGCGAACGGACGAGAAGCUUGCUUCUCUGAUGUUAGCGGCGGACGGGUGAGUAACACGUGGAUAACCUACCUAUAAGACUGGGAUAACUUCGGGAAACCGGAGCUAAUACCGGAUAAUAUUUUGAACCGCAUGGUUCAAAAGUGAAAGACGGUCUUGCUGUCAUUUAUAGAUGGAUCCGCGCUGCAUUAGCUAGUUGGUAAGGUAACGGCUUACCAAGGCAACGAUGCAUAGCCGACCUGAGAGGGUGAUCGGCCACACUGGAACUGAGACACGGUCCAGACUCCUACGGGAGGCAGCAGUAGGGAAUCUUCCGCAAUGGGCGAAAGCCUGACGGAGCAACGCCGCGUGAGUGAUGAAGGUCUUCGGAUCGUAAAACUCUGUUAUUAGGGAAGAACAUAUGUGUAAGUAACUGUGCACAUCUUGACGGUACCUAAUCAGAAAGCCACGGCUAACUACGUGCCAGCAGCCGCGGUAAUACGUAGGUGGCAAGCGUUAUCCGGAAUUAUUGGGCGUAAAGCGCGCGUAGGCGGUUUUUUAAGUCUGAUGUGAAAGCCCACGGCUCAACCGUGGAGGGUCAUUGGAAACUGGAAAACUUGAGUGCAGAAGAGGAAAGUGGAAUUCCAUGUGUAGCGGUGAAAUGCGCAGAGAUAUGGAGGAACACCAGUGGCGAAGGCGACUUUCUGGUCUGUAACUGACGCUGAUGUGCGAAAGCGUGGGGAUCAAACAGGAUUAGAUACCCUGGUAGUCCACGCCGUAAACGAUGAGUGCUAAGUGUUAGGGGGUUUCCGCCCCUUAGUGCUGCAGCUAACGCAUUAAGCACUCCGCCUGGGGAGUACGACCGCAAGGUUGAAACUCAAAGGAAUUGACGGGGACCCGCACAAGCGGUGGAGCAUGUGGUUUAAUUCGAAGCAACGCGAAGAACCUUACCAAAUCUUGACAUCCUUUGACAACUCUAGAGAUAGAGCCUUCCCCUUCGGGGGACAAAGUGACAGGUGGUGCAUGGUUGUCGUCAGCUCGUGUCGUGAGAUGUUGGGUUAAGUCCCGCAACGAGCGCAACCCUUAAGCUUAGUUGCCAUCAUUAAGUUGGGCACUCUAAGUUGACUGCCGGUGACAAACCGGAGGAAGGUGGGGAUGACGUCAAGUCAUCAUGCCCCUUAUGAUUUGGGCUACACACGUGCUACAAUGGACAAUACAAAGGGCAGCGAGACCGCGAGGUCAAGCAAAUCCCAUAAAGUUGUUCUCAGUUCGGAUUGUAGUCUGCAACUCGACUACAUGAAGCUGGAAUCGCUAGUAAUCGUAGAUCAGCAUGCUACGGUGAAUACGUUCCCGGGUCU
rnacentral:rRNA from 1 species